rnacentral:sRNA from 1 species
UAAAGCUAGCAGUGUGUACCAUGAGAUU